rnacentral:rRNA from 1 species
UACAGAGGGUGCAAGCGUUAAUCGGAAUUACUGGGCGUAAAGCGUGCGUAGACGGUUAUUUAAAGUCAGGUGUGAAAGCCCCGGGCUCAACCUGGGAAUGGCCGUUGAAACUGGACGAACUGGAGUGUGGCAGAGGGGGGUGGAAUUCCGCGUGUAGCAGUGAAAUGCGUAGAUAUGUGGAGGAACACCAGUGGCGAAGGCGACUCUCUGGGCUGUAACUGACACUGAUGCGCGACAGCAGUGGG